rnacentral:rRNA from 1 species
GAUGAACGCUGGCGGCGUGCCUAAUACAUGCAAGUCGAGCGAACAGACGAGGAGCUUGCUCCUCUGACGUUAGCGGCGGACGGGUAAGUAACACGUGGAUAACCUACCUAUAAGACUGGGAUAACUUCGGGAAACCGGAGCUAAUACCGGAUAAUAUAUUGAACCGCAUGGUUCAAUAGUGAAGGACGGUUUUGCUGUCACUUAUAGAUGGAUCCGCGCCGCAUUAGCUAGUUGGUAAGGUAACGGCUUACCAAGGCAACGAUGCGUAGCCGACCUGAGAGGGUGAUCGGCCACACUGGAACUGAGACACGGUCCAGACUCCUACGGGAGGCAGCAGUAGGGAAUCUUCCGCAAUGGGCGAAAGCCUGACGGAGCAACGCCGCGUGAGUGAUGAAGGUCUUCGGAUCGUAAAACUCUGUUAUUAGGGAAGAACAAAUGUGUAAGUAACUAUGCACGUCUUGACGGUACCUAAUCAGAAAGCCACGGCUAACUACGUG